UACGUAGGGUGCGAGCGUUAAUCGGAAUUACUGGGCGUAAAGGGUGCGCAGGCGGCUAUAUAAGUUAGAUGUGAAAUCCCUAAGCUUAACUUAGGAAUGGCAUUUGAUACUGUAUAGCUAGAGUUUAUCAGAGGGAGGUAGAAUUCCAAGUGUAGCAGUGAAAUGCGUAGAUAUUUGGAGGAAUACCGGUGGCGAAGGCGGCCUUCUGGGAUAAACUGACGCUCAGGCACGAAAGCGUGGGGAGCAAACAGG
rnacentral:rRNA from 1 species